CCAGCCCGCUCAGAAACUCAAAGGAAUUGACGGGGGCCCGCACAAGCGGAGGAGCAUGUGGUUAAUUCGAUGAUACGCGAGGAACCUUACCUGGGCUCGAACGUAAGAUGACUGUAGGUGAAAGCUUACAUCUCUUCGGAGCAUUUUACGAGGUGCUGCAUGGUUGUCGUCAGCUCGUGCCGUGAGGUGUCGGGUUAAGUCCCAUAACGAGCGCAACCCUACCUUUAGUUGCCAUCAGGUAAUGCUGGGGACUCUAAAGGAACUGCCUACGCAAGUAGUGAGGAAGGCGGGGAUGACGUCAAAUCAGCACGGCCCUUACGUCCAGGGCUACACACGUGCUACAAUGGCCGAUACAGAGGGCAGCUACCUGGUGACAGGAUGCAAAUCUCCAAAGUCGGUCUCAGUUCGGAUCGGAGUCUGCAACCCGACUCCGUGAAGUUGGAUUCGCUAGUAAUCGCGCAUCAGCCAUGGCGCGGUGAAUACGUUCCCGGGCCUU
rnacentral:rRNA from 1 species